rnacentral:rRNA from 1 species
UACGUAGGGGGCAAGCGUUGUCCGGAUUUAUUGGGCGUAAAGGGCGCGUAGGCGGCGAUUCAAGUGACGGGUGAAAUCCCUCGGCUUAACCGAGGAACUGCCUGUCAGACUGGAUUGCUUGAGGCCGGGAGAGGCGAGUGGAAUUCCCAGUGUAGCGGUGAAAUGCGUAGAUAUUGGGAGGAACACCAGUGGCGAAGGCGGCUCGCUGGACCGGUUCUGACGCUGAGGCGCGAAAGCGUGGGGAGCAAACAGG